rnacentral:rRNA from 1 species
UACAGAGGUCUCAAGCGUUGUUCGGAUUCAUUGGGCGUAAAGGGUGCGUAGGCGGCGCGGUAAGUCGGGUGUGAAAUCUUGGAGCUUAACUCCGAAACUGCAUUCGAUACUGCCGUGCUUGAGGACUGGAGAGGAGACUGGAAUUUACGGUGUAGCGGUGAAAUGCGUAGAUAUCGUAAGGAAGACCAGUGGCGAAGGCGGGUCUCUGGACAGUUCCUGACGCUGAGGCACGAAAGCUAGGGUAGCGAACGGG